rnacentral:lncRNA from 1 species
GAUUAGGUGGAAGUGACGUGGGGAUGAUGUUUAGGGGGGGGGGGGGUGAUGAUGGGGUAAGGUAGCAUGCAAAGUAACCUGCCACCACAUCAUCAUGCUUUGCCUUCUUUCUCUCUUUGCUGCAACACCCUUUGAUUGCAUUCAAUGCCCAAUCUCACACAAACAUAAAAUAAAAAUGGGAAUUUGAGCAGUACCAGUAGUAAUUAAGUAGAGAGAGAAAGGGGUAAAAAAGUAAAACAGUCGUCUAGGAGGAUGUGGUUUAAAUGUCGUGGUCACCACCCGGCAAACGGACUUCAAAUGCCGCUUUCUUGUCUCCUAAUCACCCCCUCUCUGUUUUCCCUUGUCCCCUCUUUUCUCUUUUCUCUCUCUUUCAUUAAUGCUAUGCUCCCUUCUCCAUUUUUCCUUUUUCCCCAUUUUACCCUCUUUCCCGCUCACCAACUUUCUUCUCUCUACGAUUUGCAAUUCAU